rnacentral:rRNA from 1 species
GACGAACGCUGGCGGCGUGCUUAACACAUGCAAGUCGAACGGAAAGGCCCUGCUUUUGUGGGGUGCUCGAGUGGCGAACGGGUGAGUAACACGUGAGUAACCUGCCCUUGACUUUGGGAUAACUUCAGGAAACUGGGGCUAAUACCGGAUAGGAGCUCCUGCUGCAUGGUGGGGGUUGGAAAGUUUCGGCGGUUGGGGAUGGACUCGCGGCUUAUCAGCUUGUUGGUGGGGUAGUGGCUUACCAAGGCUUUGACGGGUAGCCGGCCUGAGAGGGGGACCGGCCGCAUGAGGACGCGGCUACGGCCCAGACGCAUGGGGGAGGGGGGCGGGGGUAGUAGUACGACAGGCGCGGAAGCGGGAUGGGGCAGGGCGGUGGGGGGGAGGGCGGGGUUGGGGGCGUAACCCGCUUGCGCCGGGGCGGAAGAGGGAGGGGAAGUGAUGGGAAACGGAGCGACGUAUAACGACGUGGCAGCAGCAGCGCAAAAAGGGGGAGCAGAACCCGUUAGAUC